rnacentral:rRNA from 1 species
UACGUAGGGGGCAAGCGUUGUCCGGAAUCAUUGGGCGUAAAGAGCGUGUAGGCGGCCCGGUAAGUCCGCUGUGAAAGUCCAGGGCUCAACCCUGGGAUGCCGGUGGAUACUGUCGGGCUCGAGUCCGGAAGAGGAGUGUGGAAUUCCGUGGUGUAGCGGUGAAAUGCGCAGAUAUCAGGAGGAACACCGGUGGCGAAGGCGGGUUCUCUG